rnacentral:lncRNA from 1 species
GCACGUUCUCCUCGUUGGAUAGUACAGGCGUCUCCACGGUCUCAUUUCCAUUGUUAAUAUUCUCAGUCGACAUUCUCAAAUAUUGUCAUAAAACAAGGGUUAAUUAAGGAAAUCAAUAUAUCACAUAAUAUCCCUAUAUACUGACCAACUAACAAAUAAGCUUAGGUAGGACACACUAGCGAAGGAUUUACUCGUCUCUCCCCUCCUAGUUCUAUUCCCCGAUCUCCGCCAGAGAUCAUAUCCCUAAGCUCUG